rnacentral:rRNA from 1 species
UACGGAGGAUGCAAGCGUUGUCCGGAUUUACUGGGCGUAAAGAGCGCGCAGGCGGUCGUUCAAGUCGCGUGUGAAAGCCCCCGGCUCAACUGGGGAGGGUCACGCGAUACUGAUCGACUCGAAGGCAGGAGAGGGUAGUGGAAUUCCCGGUGUAGUGGUGAAAUGCGUAGAUAUCGGGAGGAACACCAGUGGCGAAGGCGACUACCUGGCCUGUUUCUUGACGCUGAGGCGCGAAAGCUAGGGGAGCAAACGGG